rnacentral:rRNA from 1 species
GAUGAACGCUGGCGGCGUGCCUAAUACAUGCAAGUCGAGCGAACGGACGCGAAGCUUGCUUCUCUGAUGUUAGCGGCGGACGGGUGAGUAACACGUGGAUAACCUACCUAUAUGACUGGGAUCACUUCGGGACACCGGCGCUAAUACCGGAUAAUAUUUUGAACCGCAUGGUUCAAAAGUGAAAGACGGUCUUGCUGUCACUUAUAGCUGGAUCCGCGCUGCAUUAGCUAGUUGGUAAGGUAACGGGUUACCAAGGCAACGAUGCAUAGCCGACCUGUGAGGGUGAUAGGCCACCCUGGAACUGAGACACGGUCCAGAGUACUAAGGGAGGGAGCAGAAGGGAAUCUUCCGCAGUGGGCGAAAGCCUGACGGAGCAAGCCCGCGUGAGUGAUGGAGGUGUUCGGAUCGUAAAACUCUGUUAUUAGGGAAGAACAUAUGUGUAAGGAACUGUGCACAGCGUGACGGUAACUAAUAAGAAAGCAACGGCUAACUACGUG